GAGGGGGGGGCGUGCUACACAUGCAGUCGAACGAUGAUGCCCAGCUUGCUGGGUGGAUUAGUGGCGAACGGGUGAGUAACACGUGAGUAACCUGCCCCUGACUCUGGGAUAAGCGUUGGAAACGACGUCUAAUACUGGAUAUGACUGCCGGCCGCAUGGUCUGGUGGUGGAAAGAUUUUUUGGUUGGGGAUGGACUCGCGGCCUAUCAGCUUGUUGGUGAGGUAAUGGCUCACCAAGGCGACGACGGGUAGCCGGCCUGAGAGGGUGACCGGCCACACUGGGACUGAGACACGGCCCAGACUCCUACGGGAGGCAGCAGUGGGGAAUAUUGCACAAUGGGCGAAAGCCUGAUGCAGCAACGCCGCGUGAGGGAUGACGGCCUUCGGGUUGUAAACCUCUUUUAGUAGGGAAGAAGCGUAAGUGACGGUACCUGCAGAAAAAGCACCGGCUAACUACGUGCCAGCAGCCGCGGUAAUACGUAGGGUGCAAGCGUUGUCCGGAAUUAUUGGGCGUAAAGAGCUCGUAGGCGGUUUGUCGCGUCUGCUGUGAAAUCCCGAGGCUCAACCUCGGGCUUGCAGUGGGUACGGGCAGACUAGAGUGCGGUAGGGGAGAUUGGAAUUCCUGGUGUAGCGGUGGAAUGCGCAGAUAUCAGGAGGAACACCGAUGGCGAAGGCAGAUCUCUGGGCCGUAACUGACGCUGAGGAGCGAAAGCGUGGGGAGCGAACAGGAUUAGAUACCCUGGUAGUCCACGCCGUAAACGUUGGGCGCUAGAUGUAGGGACCUUUUCCACGGUUUCUGUGUCGUAGCUAACGCAUUAAGCGCCCCCGCCCGGGGGAGUACGGCCGCAAGGCUAAAACUCAAAGGAAUUGACGGGGGGCCCGCACAACCGGCGGAGCAUGCGGAUUAAUUCGAUGCAACGCGAAGAACCUUACCAAAGGCUUGACAUACACCGGAAAACGGACAAAGAUGGUUGCCCCCCUUUGUGGUCGGGGUACAGGUGGUGCAUGGUUGUCGUCAGCUCGUGUCGUGAGAUGUUGGGUUAAGUCCCGCAACGAGCGCAACCCUCGUUCUAUGUUGCCAGCGCGUUAUGGCGGGGACUCAUAGGAGACUGCCGGGGUCAACUCGGAGGAAGGUGGGGAUGACGUCAAAUCAUCAUGCCCCUUAUGUCUUGGGCUUCACGCAUGCUACAAUGGCCGGUACAAAGGGCUGCGAUACCGUAAGGUGGAGCGAAUCCCAAAAAGCCGGUCUCAGUUCGGAUUGAGGUCUGCAACUCGACCUCAUGAAGUCGGAGUCGCUAGUAAUCGCAGAUCAGCAACGCUGCGGUGAAUACGUUCCCGGGCCUUGUACACACCGCCCGUCAAGUCAUGAAAGUCGGUAACACCCGAAGCCGGUGGCCUAACCCUUGUGGAAGGAGCCGUCGAAGUGAUCAGCC
rnacentral:rRNA from 1 species